GUGAGUAACACGUGAGUAACCUGCCCUUGACUCUGGGAUAAGCCUGGGAAACCGGGUCUAAUACCGGAUAUUACUCUUUGCCGCAUGGUGGGGGGUGGAAAGCUUUAUUGCGGUUUUGGAUGGACUCGCGGCCUAUCAGCUUGUUGGUGAGGUAAUGGCUCACCAAGGCGACGACGGGUAGCCGGCCUGAGAGGGUGACCGGCCACACUGGGACUGAGACACGGCCCAGACUCCUACGGGAGGCAGCAGUGGGGAAUAUUGCACAAUGGGCGCAAGCCUGAUGCAGCGACGCCGCGUGAGGGAUGACGGCCUUCGGGUUGUAAACCUCUUUCAGUAGGGAAGAAGCGAAAGUGACGGUACCUGCAGAAGAAGCGCCGGCUAA
rnacentral:rRNA from 1 species